rnacentral:rRNA from 1 species
UACGUAGGGUGCAAGCGUUAAUCGGAAUUACUGGGCGUAAAGCGUGCGUAGGCGGUUUGCCGUGUCCUGUGUGAAGGCCCCGGGCUCAACCUGGGAAUUGCAUGGGAAACUGGCAGGCUUGAGUGUGGCAGAGGAGGGUGGAAUUCCGCGUGUAGCAGUGAAAUGCGUAGAGAUGCGGAGGAACACCGAUGGCGAAGGCAGCCCUCUGGGCCAACACUGACGCUCAGGCACGAAAGCGUGGGGAGCAAACAGG